rnacentral:rRNA from 1 species
AACGAACGCUGGCGGCAGGCUUAACACAUGCAAGUCGAACGAUGUAGCAAUACAUAGUGGCGCACAGGUGAGUAACGCGUGGGAACGUGCCUUUUAGUUUGGAAUAACACCGGGAAACCGGUGCUAAUGCCGAAUACGCCCUUCGGGGGAAAGAUUUAUCGCUAAAAGAUGGGCCCGCGUCAGAUUAGCUAGUUGGUGGGGUAAUGGCCUACCAAGGCUCCGAUCUGUAGCUGUUCUGGGAGGAAGAUCAGCCACACUGGAACUGAGACACGGUCCAGACUCCUACGGGAUGCAGCAGUGGGGAAGAUUGGACAAUGGGGGAAACCCUGAUCCAGCCAUGCCGCGUGAGUGAUGAAGGCCUUAGGGUUGUAAAGCUCUUUUACCAGGGAAGAUGAUGACGGUACCUGGAGAAUAAGCACCGGCUAACUUCGUGUCAGCAGCCGCCGUAA